rnacentral:lncRNA from 1 species
AGUGGGGUUGUAAUGUACCCUUGCCAUUGGUUAAUUCACCAGGACGUGAGGCUCAAUCCAAACCGGAUAACCGUAGACAAUAGCAGUUGCCGUGACGUGAGAAGUUAGGAGCAAUGGCGUGCGGCACAUUGGUGUGCCCAACUUAUCGAUGUCGUGCGGUAAGCACAGUGGAAUCCCGUAAACACUUGUCUCUCGUCUUUCUAGUUUUCGGUUGGUCUUUCUUUUCUUUUUUUUUUGCAAGAAAAGGAGAUUUCAUUUGAUCAAAGAAAUGUUACAUCGGGUAUGACCUCCAAAGGAUUACACCCCAACCAAGAAGCCGUACGUUGGCUUGACCUUGCGAACCCCGCGAGGUCAUGACUAACACUAUUCUGAAAUCUAUGAAUUUUAAUGACCUUGAUCUUCCUUUGCGAGGCUAAUAAACAUUUAACCUCUUUAAUCAAGCUACUAUAGCGAGAGUGGUCAACAGAAGUGG